rnacentral:rRNA from 1 species
AGUGAACGCUGGCGGUAGGCCUAACACAUGCGAGUCGAACGGCAGCACAGUAAGAGCUUGCUCUUACGGGUGGCGAGUGGCGGACGGGUGAGGAAUACAUCGGAAUCUACUUUUUCGUGGGGGAUAACGUAGGGAAACUUACGCUAAUACCGCAUACGACCUACGGGUGAAAGCAGGGGAUCUUCGGACCUUGCGCGAUUGAAUGAGCCGAUGUCGGAUUAGCUAGUUGGCGGGGUAAAGGCCCACCAAGGCGACGAUCCGUAGCUGGUCUGAGAGGGUGAUCAGCCACACUGGAACUGAGACACGGUCCAGACUCCUACGGGAGGCAGCAGUGGGGAAUAUUGGACAAUGGGCGCAAGCCUGAUCCAGCCAUACCGCGUGGGUGAAGAAGGCCUUCGGGUUGUAAAGCCCUUUUGUUGGGAAAGAAAAGCAGCAGGUUAAUACCCCGCCGUUCUGACGGUACCCAAAGAAUAAGCACCGGCUAACUUCGUG